AGGAUAAUAGUUUAAUUAAAAACAUUUAAAUUGCACUUAAAAAAUAUUCUUAAUUUAUCUUA
rnacentral:tRNA from 1 species